UUUUAACCGAUUUCAAAAAAAGGAGGAGGUUACUCAAUUCGACCGUAUAUAUAUAUAUAUAUAUAUAUUUAUGUAUGUUCGGGGAUAACUCCGUCGUUUAUGAACCGAUUUUGAUAAUUCUUUUUUUGUUGGAAAGAAGAUAUCCCUAGUUUGGUACCAUGAUAAGGAAACCAGGGUCUGAUGAUGGGAUCCCAAAGAAAUCGAGGGAACUUCUCGAAAAUCCGCAUAACUUUUUACUGGGUGUACCGAUUUUGAUAAUUUUUUAUUUAAUCGAAAGCUGAUGUUUAUUAUGACAUUUGAUAUCAUUACAUUUAAAUUUUAUCGAGAUCUUAUAACUACUUUUUGAGUAAUCUUUGAUAACGCGUAGUUACUUGACUGUUUUUUCGUCGAUCUACGUUGUAUUACUUGUUGAUGUAAUUGAAUUUUCGUUUGCGAGCAAAUACAAUUAUUAGCAAUAAGAUCGCCUGGUUGAACAAUUUGUUACUAUAAUUGCUUGUUAUGUAAAUUUUGUUCUUUAUUUACAUGCGCAAUAAAGUAUAUUAUUAUUAUUAUUAUAGAUAACUCGCCUUCAAUCCAAAAAGUCAACACCAAACGAGUAUCAUG
rnacentral:misc_RNA from 1 species